GCAACCAGCUCCGCAUCAUCUCCAGCGUGAAGGCCUCGCUGGCGAGAAGCAGGUCCUCUGAAGAGCUCCUGCUGGAAAAUGCGGAGCAGCUCCUGCGGGCUGUCUCCAAGACCGUGAGGACCACGGAAGCUGCGAGUCUCCGGGGCUUGAGACCACCUUCC